CUGCUCGGUGAGUGAAGAGGAGAACGAGAGGGAGGGGGAGAGAGCAGCGCAGCAGCAGCGGGCAAGCCACCAGCCCCGAAACAACGAAAUAAAGGCGAACUUAGCUUGCAAACGGAAGAAUAAUGCACUUUUACGACAUGGGGGUUCGCACAGACCAACCGGGAUUUCGGCGAUAAGGCGGGGUCGCGUGUGGACUCUCUCCGAGGCGGCUGGAAACUCAAGAGGAAAGAAAACAACAACACUGGAAAAAGACGACAAUAAAACAACACUCCCCGACAAGUGGUCUGCCUUGAGCCGAGUGUGAAGUCCGGACUAAACAACGGGAAACAUUGGCGAAUCGAUAUUCUGUUUGACAUUGCGCGUGCUAAUUUGCAGAUAGUGUUUCUGAGUGAACUUUAAACUCAGGAAACAAUGAAGACAUAGCGAGCACGAAACUCAUCAAGUGUCUCGAGGCUGCCAGCCGUCCCGCUAGCGUUAGCUCGCCUCUCUCGUAGCGAGCGAAUGCGAGCUGAAGCUAACGCCCGCUAGUGCUAAGCUAAGUUAGCUCGUCGGCUAACGGCAGCUGGCUAGCUAAACGCGUUUCGAGAAACUUUUGGUGUUGUUUCCCCAGAGCCCAAACACUGAAGGAGGUUAGGAAGAACAGAGGGGAAGGGCAGGUUCCCUUCUGGACUUUCCCCCUCUACACAUUGUCCUAAUAUGAUGGCUACGGAGGUCAGCAGUGAGGAUACGGGCUUGGUCACGACAGGGACAGGGGUGGCAGACGGAGGAGGCCCGGAGACGGCCCCUUUCCCCUACUAUCCCAAGCCGAGCAGAGUGCGAGUCACUGAUUUGGGACAAGGACCAGCACCAACCCUUCGCCAAAACUCAAACCCCUUGUCGGACUCACCUCCCGACAUGAGUGUGACCUACCCCAUGUCUGCCGGGGAUGUGACCGGACCAGCGCUUUCCGCAACAGGGAGUGGCGGAGCAGGAGGUGGACAUUCAGUUUUACAAGGAACAAGUUCAGGGACCGUGGGCGGCAUUAGCUUCUCUCCCACUUCGGAGGGUCCAGCUAGUCGGAUUUCACCCACGUCAACAGCCCCGGAUGGACCCACUGACUUCCCCCCACUGCCCCCACCACCUCCUCCCCCUCCAGGUGGUGGGGUGCCCGGUGUCACUAUGGAUGAAAGCGACAUGCAGGAUGGACCGGAAUACGAGGAAGAAGAGGUGGUGUUCCCCCUUUCUGCACCUCCUACGAACCAGUGGUACCACGGUAAGCUAGACCGAAACAUUGCUGAGGAGCGGCUGCGCCAGGCCCGGAACCCUGGCAGCUACCUCAUCAGGGAGAGUGACCGCCGGCCUGGUUCCUUCGUCCUGUCUUUCCUCAGUGUGACCAAUGUGGUCAACCAUUUCAGGAUAAUUGCCAUGUGUGGGGACUAUUACAUCGGUGGGCGGCGGUUCUCUUCUCUAUCAGACCUGAUUGGUUACUACAGCUAUGUGUCUUGCCUGCUAAAAGGAGAGAAACUGCUAUCCCCAGUGGCGCCCCCUGAGCCUGUAGAAGACAGGAGGAGAGUCAGGGCCAUACUUCCAUACACCAAAGUGCCAGAUACUGAUGAGAUCAGCUUCCUGAAAGGGGACAUGUUUAUUGUUCACAAUGAACUGGAUGAUGGCUGGAUGUGGGUGACCAAUGUUCGCACAGAGGAGCAGGGCCUUAUUGUGGAGGAUCUGGUGGAGGAGGUGGGACGGGAGGAGGAUCCACAUGAGGGAAAAGCCUGGUAUCAUGGAAAGAUCACCAAGCAGGAGGCCUACAACCUGCUGAUGACGGUUGGCCAGGUGUGCAGUUUUCUAGUCCGACCAUCAGACAACACACCUGGGGACUACUCCCUCUUUUUCCGCACAAAUGAAAACAUCCAAAGGUUUAAGAUCUCCCCCACUCCCAACAAUCAGUUCAUGAUGGGGGGGAGGUACUACAACAGUGUCCAUGACAUCAUCGACCAUUACAAGAAAGAGCAGAUUGUCGAGGGCUACAACCUGAAAGAGCCAGUUUCAGUGCAGCACCAGGAACAAGUUCUUACUGACACAGUGGAUGGGAGAGAAAUUUAUAACACUAUCAGACGAAAAACAAAAGACGCUUUCUACAAAAACAUCGUCAAGAAAGGCUACAUCCAGUUCAACAAAGGAAAAGGCAAAAGAUGGAAGAACCUUUACUUUAUCCUGGAGGGUAACGAUGCCCAGCUCAUCUACUUUGAGAGUGAGAAGAGAGCCACCAAACCUAAAGGGCUGAUUGACCUAAGUGUGUGCUCCGUAUAUGGUGUGCAUGACAGUCUUUUUGGCAGGCCACACUGUUUCCAGAUUGUUGUACAGCACUUUAGUGAGGAACAGUACAUAUUCUACUUUGCAGGGGAGUCUCCAGAGCAGGCACAGGAUUGGAUGAAAUGCCUUCACACUUUUUGCAGUAACUUAAGAAAAACCACUCAGCCGACUUCCAACAAAAGGCUUCGACAGGUGAGCAGCCUGGUGCUGUAUGUGGAGGAAGCCCACAAGCUGCCCGGGAAAUAUUUUGCCAGCCCCUACUGUAACAUCUACCUGAACAGCGUCCAGGUGGCUAAAACUCACCCGAGGGAGGGGCAGAACCCCGUCUUCACAGAAGAGUUCAUCUUUGAUGAUCUUUCGAGUGAAAUCAACAGAUUUGAAAUCAGCCUGAGCAACAAAACAAAAAAAAGCAAAGAAAGUGACAUCUUGUUCAUGCGUUGCCAGCUGAACCGUCUGCAGAAGGGUCAGAUGAUUGAUGAGUGGUUCCCUCUCAGCUCCCACGUGCCUCUGAAGGGCAUCGAGCCAGGCUCUUUGCGUGUACGUGCCCGCUACUCCAUGGAGAAGAUCAUGCCCGAAGAGGAGUACAGCGAGUUCAAAGAGAUGAUCUUGCAGAAAGAGUUCCAUGUUAUCUACGCUCUGGCCCAUGUGUGUGGUCAGGACCGCACCUUAUUGGCCAGCCUCCUUCUGCGGAUCUUCAGACACGAGAAGGCUGAAGCCCCUCUACUCAGGACACUCAAUGACAGAGAGAUUAACGUGGAAGAUGAAGCCACAACAUUAUUCAGAGCGACCACACUGGCCAGCACUCUGAUGGAGCAGUACAUGAAGGCCACGGCCACGCCAUUUGUCCACCAUGCUCUCAAAGACACCAUCCUCAAGAUCAUGGAGAGCAAACAGUCCUGCGAGCUGAACCCUUCCAAACUGGAAAAGAAUGAGGAUGUGAACCUGAACCUGGCUCAUCUCCUCAACAUCCUGUCCGAACUGGUGGAGAAGAUCUUCAUGGCUGCGGAGAUUCUACCACCGACAUUGAGGUUCAUCUAUGGCUGUCUGCAGAAGUCUGUGCAGCAGAAAUGGACCACUAACAACACAAUGAGGACGAGGGUCGUAAGUGGCUUUGUCUUUCUAAGACUGAUCUGUCCUGCCAUCCUCAACCCCAGACUGUUCAACAUCAUUGCUGACCCUCCAUCUUCCGCAGCAGGCAGGACCCUCACACUGGUGGCUAAGUCUGUCCAAAACCUUGCAAACCUGGUUGAAUUCGGUGCUAAGGAACCCUACAUGGAGGGUGUGAAUCCUUUUAUCAAAAACAACAAACACAGGAUGAUCAUGUUUCGGAUAGUUGGGGAACGUCCCUGACCUCCCUGAAGCCACAGAGCACUUUAGGACGGAUCUGUCCCGGGACCUGGCUGCGCUGCACGAGGUCUGUGCCUCACACUCGGAUGAGCUCCGGACGCUGAGCAACGAGAGGGGAGCACAGCAGCACGUGUUGAAAAAGCUGCUGGCCAUCACAGAGCUCCUCCAACAGAAGCAGACUCAGUAUGCCAUGUCCAACAGCAACAGGUAGUACUGCACUCCUCGUCUCCUCAUCUUCUCAUCCUUCCGUCAAGUCUCCUCCACCGGAGUGCAGCGCAGAGGAGACCUAGCAUGCUCUACCCUCAUCACCAUGGCAACCCCUCCAUCAAUCGUCCCGCCCAUCCCCACCCACAUGCCAUUGUGUCCCGUUCACCACAAGAAAGCUAUGCAACAAUCAACGCCGUACCUAAAAGCAUAUUAAAAACAAAGAAACGUGCACCUGUGACUGACAGCUGUAUGCACAGGAAACAUUUUACCCUCAAACUGUGUUCAGUAUACUGACUUGGGAUUCAUUCCCUUCAUCAUGAGGGCCAAAUAUUAAGAUUUUAAGAGUUUCUUUGUACCCACUGUGUUCUGAUAGCACAGGAUGCCAAAGUGUACCCCCCUCCCCCCCUCCUCUCAUCCCUGCUCAAUAUGAGGAAACUGACAAGAAGCUAGUUCUCAGUCCCCUUUUCUUGUAACUGGAUUAUGAGCGAUAAAGCUUUUUAUAUUGUAAUUGACUGAUUUUAUUUUAAGGUUGUGACAAUAUCCGCAAAGUGCUGAAACUAGCAUUUCUGUCUGUUCUUUUUUCUUUGUUUUCUAGAUUGAAACAAAGUUUUUCAGUAAAGUAUGGUUAUUUUAUAUUAAGAAUAAAUUCUCUUGCUGGAAUCAUGAGUAUAUAAGUGAGAUGAGCUGAAUUUUUUUUCUCAGAUUGUAUCGGCUAUUUUGAUUAUUUGGUCUUUUUUGAAACUUCUCAAUGCCAGACAAGACACAUAAUCAGAGAAACCAAGUAAAAUGAAAGUGUUUACAGCAGCAAAUUUUUUUGAAUAGUACAGAUUGUAUCAGACUUGCAUGCACUUAUUAAACAGUUUUUGUAAAGUA